UUGUUGUUACCUCAUAGUAUUUGAGAACAAGUCCCCAACAGAUUAUUACCUAGAAAAGGAUUGGAUGAUGGAUUAAUGGUCGUCAUAUCAGAUUCAAACACCAAUGCAUCGUGUUCUGUGGUAAAUCGAGUGAAGUAUCUGGUUCUGCAUUUUGACCAUGAUAACAAUGUUGGUGGUUUAGAUUGGGAUGAUGUAGUGGCAAACCCAACUGCUUCUCUCCCCAAGGUCUUAAGCCUUGUCAAGGCACAACCGACUAAAGACGAAGAGGUAGAGAAACUACCAGAUUUUUACAAUGACUUGAACCCCGUAACUGAAGUAGACUGUCCAGAUAUUAGCAUCGAAGAAGAUUUAGACUUAGUGGACACUGAUAAUGAAGUGGAUGUAGGUGAUACUGACAUAGCUGCUCACAAUGAAGAUGUAGAUGAUGGGUAUCAUGUUGUUUCAAGAUCAAAGUUGAAAAAGGCUGUUGGCAGUAGGUUAAAGGUAGACAUUGCCUCUAGGAAAAGGGUUGUACAAGACGACUUAGACUCAACUGAUGAAGAUCUUGAGUGUCCCAACACUGAAAAGGAGGAACAAAGCAGCACAAAGUUAACAUCAUUCAAAAAAGUUGACCUUAGUGACCCUAUGUUCAAAGUUGGGAUGAUGUUUGAGUCAAUGAAGCUACUAAGGAAAGCUAUUACUGAGUAUAGCAUGAAAAAGAGGUUUGAAAUUAAGCUGCCAAGGAAUGACAACAAGAGGCUGAGGGCUCAUUAUGCACAUGGAUGCUCUUAAUGUUAUUUGCAUCUAUGGACAACAGAGAAAAUGGCAUCAUGGUUAAGACCUAUGUGUCCACUCAUAGAUGCCAGAGAGAGUGGAAUUUGAGGAGGUGUACUGCUACAUGGCUGGCUGAGAAGUACAUUGACUCCUUUAAAAGUGAUGAUAAAAUGACUUUGACAAACUUUUCAAGGACAGUGAAAAGGAAAUGGAAUGUCACUCCUAUGAGAAGCAAGUUAGUUAGGGUCAGAAGGCUAGCACUAAAGAAGAUAUAUGGUGUUGAGAGUGAACUAUACAACAAGCUUUGGAAUUUUGGACUUGAAUUGAGGAGUAACCCAGGAAGUAGUUUCUUUCUAAAUUUGGUGGACAAUCAUUUUCAAUCUGUUAUAUGUCCAUUGAUGCUUGCAAAAGGGGUUUUCUUAAAGGAUGUAGGCCCAAAAUCUUCUUGGACGGAUGCCAUAUUAAGACAAAAUUUGGUGGACAAAUAUUCACUGUUGUUGGUCUAGAUCCAAAUGACUGGAUUUAUCCAAUUGCUUUGGGAGUAGUUGAGGUUGAAUCAAAGUCAACUUGGAAGUGGUUUCUUGAAACACUAAAGCAUGAUUUAUGUAUUGAAAACACAUAACCUUGGAUUGUCAUGAUUGACAAGCAGAACGUGAUUUUCCUUGAAUUGUUUAAUUUUGAAGCAUGUCACAUUUAUUAAAAGGUACUAAUUUUUUUUGAAUUCUUGUUAAUAGGGAAUGAUUCCUGCAAUUGAGGAGGUAUUCCUAGAAUAUGAGCACAAAUUCUGUGUUAGAUAUUUGUAGUCCAACUUUAAGGAUGCAGGCUUCAAGGUGGAAGCAAUAAAUGAAUAAGAUGAAGGAACUCAGCCCUGCUGCUCAUGCUUGAUUUGAAAAAAAUGGCACCUAACACUUGGGUAAGAGCUUACUUUGCAGAGUUUCCCAAGUUUGAUAUCCUUUUGAACAACAGCUAUGAGGUUUUCAACAAAUACAUUAUUGAUGCUAGAGAAUACCAAUCUUGAGCAUGUUGGAGAGAAUAAAACAAAAAGUCAUGACGCGAUUCUACAACAAACAGAAGGAACUUAAGGAUUUUGUAGGCACCAUUUGUCCAAAUAUUAGGAAGAAAAUAUCUAAAUUUGCGGAUCUAGCGAAUGUGUGCUAUGUGUUACCUUCUGGAAGUGUGAUUUUCCAAGUUGUGGACAGAGAUCACCAGUAUAUAGUAGACCUUGCAGCUAAGACUUGUGAUUGUAGAGAGUGGAAUUUGACUGGAAUUCUAUGCCAGCAUGGUACAAACAUCAUGCCAUGCAAAGAUAUGACCAGUUGGGAGAAAGUUGAUGCCCCUACAGUCUCACCUCCUAUCUAUGUUAGAAAACCUGGAAGGCCGAAGAGAUGCAGAAGGAAGCAGCCUCAUGAAAAAAUUGGAAAGUAUGGCCCAACUCUAUCAAGGCAUGGUGUGAAAAUGACUUGCAACUAUUGUAAAGGGGACGACCAUAAUGACAAAGGCUUCCCCAUCAAGAAGCUAGGUGUCAGUCCAAAACCUAAUCAUCUUGAGGUGUAACCUGCUCAUCCUGAGGCACAACCUGAUGAACAACCUGAUUACAACGAAAUGCUAGAUGACAAUCAAGUUGUCACCCAAGAUAACAGUCAAGGGGCCACCAAUGGACCAGAUGACACAAGAUGGUGAUGAACCCCAUUAUUGCAAUUUGAUGAUAGAAAUGAGCUCAACGAUGCUACUUCAAAUGAUGGAACAGGUUGGUCCUAGUCAACUACUUUCACAGGAACCUAAACAAGCUGUGUCGAAUGUAAAUUCAUCAUAGCAAACAUUCCUGUGCCAAGACCUAUAGUCCUCACAUCAGCAACCAAAGAAGGAAGGAACACAACAAGAAAGAGGAUUGCAAAACCACCAACAAAUAAGGGAGAAACAAGGACCAAGAAUAAUAAGAAUUGAAGUAGAUGUAUGCAGUUUGAUCAAGGCCGAUGAAUGCCUUUAACUAUAAUAGUUGAGCAUGAAUGUUUUUGUAUGAUGCACUGAUGCUCUUGAUCAGUCUUUUGUGUGUGUUAUCUACAGAGGGCAACAAAAAUGCUAGCUAAACAUGAAUGCUUUUGUA